rnacentral:miRNA from 1 species
GCGUGCAAGCGGGGCGGGGAUCUCUCAGAUGUGAAGGGAGGCUUCACCCUGUCUAUCAGAGCUUGCGUGCAAGCAGGAGGGGGCAGGGAUCUCUCAGUUAGGCAACGGGAAGCCUCUCUUCCCAGCUGAGGGAUCCCUGCCCCUCCUGCUUGCACGC